rnacentral:lncRNA from 1 species
AGAUGGUGCUGACGGGGUCAGGCAGAAGUGAAGAACGGCAGCAGUGGCAAAUGCAAAGACCCCUCACUCUUAACACCUCUUUCUCAUGCUUAAGACUUGAAAAGCAUCCCUGCUGCUGCUCCAGGAUCUGUAAGUCAAGGUGAUGAGGAGGAGAGGGGUGUGAUGAAGGAACGUAGUGUUUGUGGAGGUCCUGGCCAAGGUACGGUGCUCCAGCAAUGGGAUGCAGCAGUGUGCUUAAUGAGGUAAACGAGUUAUCUCAAAGAGGACCGUAGCAGAGAUCUCCUUGGGUCUGGAAGACAAGAGCUAUCAUUGAAAGAUGUUUCUACUCCUUUUCUCUUUUCUUUUUUUUUUUUUUUUUUGAUUUCUUUUUCCUCAAAACUCCUUUCAGAGUUGGAAAGGCUUGGAGUUGGGUAACUCAAACCAGAUAUGUGCACUUUAUAAAGUGUGUGUGUGUGUGUCUUUAGUGAAGUGUUGGCACUUUGACUGCC